GGCGGGGCGCGGCGGACCCGGGACCGCGCGGACUCUGCCCCCGCCUGGCCGCGGCGCCCAAAAGAGCGGGUGGGGCGAGCGUGCGGGCGCCACGGGGACCUCGUCCGCCCGGAGUCCCGGCCCUGACCCGGGCUGUGCGGGUCUCCGAGCGGCGUGAGGUCCUCAGAGGCUGGAGGUUCCCCGCGGGUCGGGCCGGCGGAGCCCCGGGCGGGGACGUGGAGAAGGAGGACGAGCAGCGGCGGGACCGGCCCCGCGGGACGGUUCCCGACUUUCCUCCUCAGGGAGUGGCAGCCGCGCCGUGUGCGCCUGGAAACUCCGACAGCAGGAGGCACCUUAAAGUGGAAGGGGCGACGUGGCUUCAUUUCAGGAGUUUCUUUUCUCCUAAUACUCAAAAUCCUGGCGCGUCCUUGGACCCCUGGCACGUUAGAAGCUCGAGUUCCUCGGCACCCACCUUGCGACGGCGUAGGGUGUCCAGGCGCAGCCCUGUGCCCAGGCACCGUUCCUAUCAGCGCACUUGCUGUCCCAUUUCACAGAAGAGCACGGGGGCGCCAGGAGCUGGGAACCCCAUGAAAUGGCGCCGGGGUCUGUGCCCCCACCAGGUCGUGGGGAGCCCUGAGCUGAGGGUGCCUGGGGAUUGAGGGCACCUGAGCCAGGGAAACCCAGGCCCAAGGGACCCACACUGGGUCCUUUCGGCUGGGACCAUCCGGGAGGCCUCAGGAGUGUCAGACCCACGUUUCCGGAGUCCAGCCUUGACCUCUGCCACUCACGGUCACUUAAAUGGGAAGUGGCAGGCCUGGGGUCAGAAACAAGGCUGCUGGGCCCCAGAUCCGCUGCCACCCUGACCCUCCUCUAAAACCCGUUCAGCACCACCAUCAGCCCCCUGCCCCAGCAACACCAAAACAGGGUGCGUCUCAGCAACUGGACUUCAACUGGGAGCUCCUCGACCCUGCUUCCCGGAUGGUCAGACACCUGCACGUGGGGCAGGGGGGCAUCAUGAGGGAACUCCAAGGGCAAGGGGCUCUUGGGAGACAGCAAAGGCACCCAGAGUGGUGCUGGGUGGGAAGACGGUGCAAGCUGACCUGUGGCCCUCCAAGGGCAGGGUUGAGGUGCUCCCUUGCUGCACUCACGGUGGGGUGGGGGGGCUCUAGCUCCCGUCGGAAUUAGGAUUGUGAGGGUUCUGGUGCCUAGCAUCAAUGCUACAUAAAUGUAGGGUUCAGCGUCACUACUGCGCUUUCCCCCACACUUCACCCUGUCUGCAAAUGAGUGACCACUGCUGUCAGUGUAGUCUUGACAGCCAACGCACAUUUUCUCCUAAGAUGGAGAGGGUGCAACAUCUACUGGAGUCAAGGAAAGGCGGUGUUCUUCAUUGAGCACCUACUGUGUGCUGGGGAGCAAGGGAGAGGUCACUUGGAGGGGCCUGCCAAAGUGGGAGCGGGGGGAAGACAGUGGGGGCUGUGGGAUGGGGCCAAGCCAAGAGGGAGAGACCCAGGAGAGGGGUGGAGGUAGACCUGGGAGGAUAGAGGGUGGAGGUGAGGCUGCAGGCUGUUCCCCCUUCCAUCCUUCCCCUUGGGUCAGGAUUUGGGUUAGCCCUUAAAAUCCCUGGGCAGGAUAAGGAUUAAAAUCUGGUGGGGAAAGCAAGAAUUAGGAUUAGGGUCAGGAUUGGGGUCGUCUCCUACAUAUGCUGACUGCAGCCCACCACACUUCAAGGAACUUCUUGUCACGGCUUUCAUAGCUGGAUCUGCUGCUGCCCCCAGCUGCCUGGUCCUCCCUUCCAGGAAGAACCUGAGGCCAGGGCAGCUCCCAGCAGGGACAGAGCCUGGCCUGGAGGCCAGGCCUCAGUGGCUUUCUCCUUCACCUGCAAAUAGCAGAGCUGGAAGCGGGUGGUGGUACAUGUACCCAGGCUGGGUCCCCUAGAGACAAGCAACCCCUGAGGGCCAGGUCGCCACUCCCAGGCAAGCAAGCUCACGGGUUCAGCAACUGCAGCUCCCGCCUCUUGCCCAGCACUGGCUCUGCCACCUUGGUGCCUCAUCGCAACCUGGAUGGCUCCGGGCCUGUUUCCAAAUGGACUCUAUGGAGACUAAGACACCUGUGAAGUGGGCAGAAGGGGGCCUGGCACACAGUAGGUGCCACCUAAGUGCAGCCAGCCACUAUACCUGCCGUUGCUUUCUCUGCUUCUCUGGGACUUGAGAGGUGAAGUACCUUGCCCAGAGUCAAAACGGGAGUUGUCUCCCAGGUUCCUGGCACGGGGCUCUUGGAGUCGAACGAGUGCCCGUCAGUGGGUUUGACGUGCAGGCAGUGGGCAGGGAAGGCUGAGGGGGUGGAUGGUUUGGAAAGACAUCUAAGGUAUCCCUCAGUCUCUGUCUGCAUAAAGGCGGCAAGACAGUAGCUACCACCUGGGAUUGUAGAGAAGAUUAAAUAGUUUGUGAAAUGCUUGACCCAGGGCCAAACAUUAGGAAACAUCAUUUGAGGGUUAAUUGAACAAAAUACAGUGUGGGUAGGUAUCACGUGUUUGCUGGGUCAAGAUGUAGAAGGUACUUCUUCCUGGGGUCAAGAUUUAAAAGGGUUGGAAACCGCUGCCUUCAAAUUCACAAUCCAGGACCCACGAAUUCAAAAUUCCCCUCGGACUUUGCAAUCCUUGGAGUGCCUCUUAAUUUAGUGUAACCUUACAGUCAGUCAGGGACAGGGUAACCCUCCGGGUUUCAGCACCGCGAGUCUGCUGUGCUCUGUCUGUGAGGAGGUCUUCACUGGGUCACAGCAAAGAAAAACACACAGCAGUAGUGCUGGACGUGGUCGCCAGAGCCCCUCGCGCAGACAAGCCGGGACGCGGCCCCCCUGCCAGAGCCCCUCGUGCAGACAACCCGGAACGCACAGCCCCUCCCACCAUCUCAGUCUGUGCGUUCGUUCACUGUCCCCGUCUCCUCCCACGAGCUCCAGGAAAGUGGGAGCUGGCACACAGUGGGUGCGCAAGCCGUGCUUACUGGGAUGCCCAGAGCCUGAGGUCACCAGGGAGCUGACAGCUGCAGGGAGCUCUCCCUGGGUCACAGCAAGGCAAGACACACAAGCAACAGCGGAGGGCAACAGUGCGUUCUCAAAGGGAGAGCUGGUUUCCGCCUGCUUCUCGUACAAAACGAGGGGCAGAGAUGGCAGGGGCCACCCCGCGAAACACUCGAUUAAAUCCCCGUUCACAAACCUUCCUGAUGCCUGGCAGCCCUAUCCCUGCCCCCGAAACCAGCAUCUGGUGAAGGCAAGGAGAGGCACCUGGAAGACCUCAAAUCUUUGCAGGUCUGCAAAGCCACUGAGCACCCACAGACCCCAAGGACCUGGUUCCGACUCAAGGAAGAACAAGGACGGUGGUGGCGGAGGGGCUCCAGAGAACUCGUAAUGCCUCUGGUGAGGCCACCGCCGUCCUGCAUCUCUUGAUGUGACUGGUGACAGCCCACCAGGGCGGGGAACCGGUUCACCUCCCAAGUGCUCACCGGGGGCCGCGCUUUCGACUCUCCCUGCACAGGCCGUGGGUCGUGGCUCCGGGUGAGUGGAAACAUUUGCCCCGCAGCGACCACCGCCCCUCCCUCCCCGACCUCGAGCCACAGGACCAGGGGACGGGGCUGGGCUGCGCUCUGGGCCCCGCGAUGCCUCCGGGAGGCACGGCCGCCCUCUGCUGGACACGCCGAGGAGGCGCUCCACGCCAGGGUCUCAACAUCCUCCUGAGAACAGCCCAGCAAUGGGGCAAAUAAACAUCAAGGACCCCCUAGCUGAGUCCUGAUACCUGUGAAACAAACAGGACACCCCGUUACAUUUGAAUCCCAGAAGAGCAACAAACCGGUUUUCAGUAUGUGUCCCGAAUACUGCAUGGGACAUACUUACACAUUCGUUUAUCUGUAAUCCGAGCCCAACUGGGCAUCCUGUAUUUUAUCUGGCCAUCCUACCCAGGAACUACAAACCGAGAAAACAAGGACCAUCAGGGAGAGAGAAACAGCUGGGUCAGGUCAGUGGGGGCCCAGACAGCGCCAGUCCAGGGCCCGGACAUCUUCAACAAAGCCUGGGCCUGGGAGGCUGAGGCUCUGGGGACCGUGGCCGGUCCAGGACCAUCAGUUCUGAGCGACUUUCUCCCUCCCCCACUUCCACCCCCACAGAAAUUGUCUCAGGAGGGCUGAUCUCCAGGCAGGCCCCUGGCUAACGCCUGCUUCCUGGCACGGCCAUGGACUCUGUCCAGAACAGAUUUCCAUAUUUGGUUAGCAGGUAGGAAGGAGGUCAUCAAAGACCUUCACUUCACUGUAAAAGGAAAGCAUUAAAUAAACGAACACAAAUGACUUUUAUUUAUGGCUGCCGAAAAGCUGAGGACAGUAAGUUUGUUCUAGAGAGGUAUGAGCUCCCCUGAGGUUAGUCAAGACCAAGUCUGGUGGAGGCCUCAUUAGUCCUAGGAGCCUGGUGUCAGACAAAUCCGGAAGAGCCCCAAGGCACAGCGGGCCCUCCAGGUCCUCCUGCCUGGGUCUGGGCUGCAGGAAGGGCAGGAUUCCACCACCCCACAGCUAACCCAGAGGCAAAGCUACGCUACACAAGCGGUGAGCAGGCCAGCCCAGCUCCUCGAGACCAGCACAUCAACCCAGCUGCUGACAGGAGAGGGGCAAGCCCUUCCUGAGGCAAAACAGUAUCCCCUCUGCUCCUUAACUGUCUUACCCACAUCUAGUGCACCCUCAGAAACACAAGACACCAUGGACAAGAACAGAAUAUUAGUCAACAAUGGCAUCCCAGGGUCUCUCCCAGCUCCAACCUAUCUUAGAUAUUCCAGUCAAAUCCAAUCUCCCUAAAGCGUGACUCUACUUCAGCUAAAAAACACACUAAGGCUCCCCACUGCCUUCCCAGUUUCAGAUUUCUUGGCCUAAGAGGGAAGUUGUUCCUGCACUGCCCUCCUGACCUCUGUGCUCACCCCACACAAAUGGGACGCUCAUGCCUCUGGGUGGCUGCGCCCGGCCUGCCCAUGUGCUCCUCCCUCUUACUAUUCCUUCUCCAUGGGGCCUGCCCUGCUACCGAAGGGGAACAAGGGACCCUGGCCUGGCCAACCAGGAAACCCCUUCUGCUCGGCAGUUCCUGAUUCAGUUAUGGGCACGAGACCCAAGAACAAAUUUUACCCAGGAGUUUUGUUAGAACAGUUGGGCAAGAUACAGGCUUCCCACAGAAAUCACAGAUGUAAGGUUGUGUGCCUGGAGCUUCUGGUGCCAUCUCAGUCGCCACAAAGGGCGCUGCCCCUGAGAAGAAGGUCAGUUCGGGCAGCAGAGAAAUAGAAGCACCGAAACAUCAUAAUGUGGAUGGUGACUCCUGAUUCCUGUUUCUGGAGGCCCUGGCAUCCCCGGACUGGGUCUUAAGAGUAUAACUUUCGGGCUGGGCACAGCGGCUCACGCCUGUCAUCCCAGCACUUUGGGAGGCCGAGGAGGGCAGAUCACAAGGUCAAGAGUUUGAGACCAGCCUGGCCAACAUGGUGAAAGCCCGUCUCUACUAAGAAUACAAAAAUUAGCCGGGCGUGGCAGCGUGUGCGGUGUGGUGGUGUGCGCCUGUAAUCCCAGCUACUCCGGAGGCUGAGGCAGGAGAAUCACUUAAACCUGGGAGGCAGGGGUUGCAGUGAACUGAGAUCACACCACUGCACUCCAGCCUGGGCAACAAA
rnacentral:lncRNA from 10 species